AAUUGCUUAUUUCUUUCAUAUAUAAUUUAGAAAAUUGAAUAAUAAAAAGAACUUUAAAUGUAUAAGUAUUCAAACAUGAUGUCAAAAUUCCUAAAAAAAAAAAAAAUUUACAAUUUUUUUGAUUUCAAGUUUUUUUAGUAAUUAUUGCCUCAUUUUUAUUUUAAAUUUUACCAAUAUUAUGUUAACUUUAUUAAGGUUAUAUUUUGUAGACAUUAGAAAACAUAAUUACAAGAUUCAACUUAAUUUUAAAAUAAAAGGGAACCUUAUGGACCAAGAUUUGAUGUAUUUACUGACAAAUCAACAAAACGAUGAUCUAUUGUUGGCUUUAGGCAAAUUCUCUGACAAUUUCAAGUAUAAUAAUUUUACAUUUAAAGUCUUGGUCCCUAAAGCAAUAUUGUAUCUGUUUGCUGAAUUGGAAAGAAUCUCAAGAAAUUAAAACCAACAAGGUAGUGAAUAAAUUGUCUGAUGAAGACGAUGAUUUUUUUUAGAUAAAAUGCGAUAACUCUAUUCCACAUCGAUGGUUUCACUUGGAAUGUAUUGGUUAUGCUAAAAAAACAAGUGCUUUAUUUACUUGAUUAAACAUUCUCUUGCUAAUGUAAGUUGUUAAUAUAACUGAUUUUAGUUUUUUUUUGGUUUAUCAACUU